GACGAACGCUGGCGGCGUGCUUAACACAUGCAAGUCGAGCGGAAAGGCCACUUCGGUGGUACUCGAGCGGCGAACGGGUGAGUAACACGUGAGUAAUCUGCCCUUCACUCUGGGAUAGCCACCGGAAACGGUGAUUAAUACCGGAUACGACCACUCCACGCCUGUGGUGGUGGUGGAAACUUUUUGGGUGGGGGAUGUGCUCGCGGCCUAUCAGCUUGUUGGUGGGGUAAUGGCCUACCAAGGCUUCGAUGGGUAGCCGGCCUGAGAGGGUGACCGGCCACACUGGGACUGAGACACGGCCCAGACUCCUACGGGAGGCAGCAGUGGGGAAUAUUGGACAAUGGGCGGAAGCCUGAUCCAGCAACGCCGCGUGAGGGAUGACGGCCUUCGGGUUGCAAACCUCUUUCAGCACCGACGAAGCGCAAGUGACGGUAGGUGCAGAAGAAGGACCGGCCAACUACGUGCCAGCCGCCGCCGUAA
rnacentral:rRNA from 1 species